UUGUCUUUCUUUUUUCUUUCUUCAUUUCCUUCCUUCCCUUUCCUCUCCUUCCUUUCUUCCUACCUUCCUUCCUUCCUGACUACCAUGUAUUGCCUCUUUGUUGGGGAAAUAUCAUGUUAAAAAAAUAAAGUAUAGCACCCUCUGCCCCACAAGUGAUCUGCAGACAGAGGUCUCUGGUGUUUUGUUAUAGCUGUGUUUCACCCUGAGUGUCAUAUUGCUGAAGCUGGAUUAAAAGGGACACUGCUGGCAAACAUCUUUGGAAAUGCUAUAAAUAGUAAAUCGGCAAGAUCAGGGAACAAAAGAGAAGCACAGCCAGUGUAAUUAGUUCACUCACUGAGCAAGUGGACUAUUCUGAGGCUGAGGAGUGUGCUCCAGUGGAUGAGAUGAUGGGGGUGGGGAGGAAAGGAGAACCAACUCACUCAGGCUGAGAGAAGGACACUCGUGUGACACCCAAGCCCCCGUCGGCUCCCACAGUCCCCAUCCGAGGGUAUACCCAAUAGCCCACAAAAGGAGUGCGGGGAGGCAGGAGUCCUAGAGCUGAGAUGUGACAGAUGAGAAGGGAAUCCAGGGCCUGACGACAGAAAGUAAACAGAAACACAGGACCCAAGGAGGACGAUGCAGGACACAGGUCAUCAUAGGAAGGAACUGAGAAAUGUUCUCAUCCAUUGUUUUCCAAAUAACAAUGAUCAUAAUAACAUUAGCUACUGUUCACUGAGUGCUUACUACCGUUAAAAGCAGAUUUGGUCCUCCUAAGAAUGCCCUUAGGGUCAGUACUGUUGUAAUCUCCACUUUAUAGAAGAAACUGAGAUGCAGGAAGAUUAGUACAAAGUGACGCCUCUAAUAGCAAACUUUAUAAAGCCAUGGAAUGUUUUUCCUUUUAUCACUCAGAACCCCACUCAUAAAAACAAAUGAAAGCAGAGAGAUGGAGGAAAGGAUCCUGAAGCACAGAAUCCCAACAUCUGGAAUUCUAGAAAACCAUUCCCUGGGCACACACUGAGAACCAGAGAGGGGAACAGCACUGUCCAAGGUCACCAGGGCCAGAUAACAGUGACGCUGGAGCCCACGGGUCUGUUGGAGCCUCCAUACUGCUCCUGAGCACUGUACUUCGUGGAGAAGGGCCUUCUCAUGAAGUUAGUUCACCUCCCCUUAGAACCACCACUGGACUGGACACUUGGUUCUGAGCAUGGUGCAUCUAUUACCACCUUCUGCCUCCCAACUCAUAUGUGAUGUCCUUGAGAGCAGAAAUUGUGCCUGUUUCAUCUUUGUAGUUCCUCACAGACUUAGCCCAGAGACUAGCACACAGCGGCAACUCAGUAAACGAAAUAAAUAAAUGACUGUUUUAAAUGAUGGAAGAAUAAAUGAAUGACUAUAUGAGCCCUUUUAGCCUGUUAUAAAAAGAAACUAACACUGUGGAGAAGACAAAGUAUGUCCAUGCCUCACACCAUCUUUAAUUUUCAAUACCAAAUGAGAAGGACUUUAGCACCUGAAGGAAAGUUUAUUUUCCAAGAACACAUGGCUAGGAAGUGAAAAAGCCAAGAUGGUGCUUAGGUCUUCCAAUUCUUAAAAGUCAACAAUUCUUAAAACAAAUGACAUACUCAGAGUAGUCAAACUCAUAGAAACAGAAAGUAGAACAGUGGUUGCCAGGGGCUGGGGUGGGGCACAGGGGAGCUGCUGUUCAAUGGAUCCAGCGUUUGUUUUGCAAAAUGAAAAGAGCUCUACGGAUGGAUGGUGGUGAUGGUAGCAUAACACCGAAUGAACUUAAUGCCACUGAACUGUAUACUUUAAAACAGCUACAAUGCUAAAUAUUGCAUUAUUUGUAUUUUACCAUAACUAAUUUAAAAAAUCAGAAAAAAAGAAUGGAAAUAGUUAUACGUAUGACUGAUCCACUGCGGUACACCUGGAACUAAUACAACAUUGUAAAUCAACUAUACUCCAACUAAAUUAAAAAAAAACAAACCAGUAGCUAGCAUUUACGAUGCCUUUGCUAUGUGCCAGCACCAUUUUCAAUACUUCACAGCCUUUAAUCAUCACAACAACCUUACAGGGUAAAUACUAUCAUUAUCUCCAUUUGCAAAUGAGAAAACUGAGUUACACAGAGGUGAAGUAUCUCAGCCCAAGUCAACGGCUAGUAACCCAAGAGCCAAACUGAAGACAUCUACUUCCAGUCGUGACGACUGAUGAACAAAGGGAAGAGGGUGUGAGGAGGAAUUUGCUGCCAGAGCAAAGCUGCACAUUAGACAUGUGUACAUAUUGCUGUCAAAAUGUCUCUGUGUUACAUACCUCACCGUCCUUGAUACAUUGGGGCAUCCAAAGAGUGUGUUUUUAUUUCAAUUCACUUCUCAGGCUGAAGAGAUCGGUCUAGUUAAGGGAGGCAUACACACUCAAAGAGCAGUGACUCUGUAUUCAGACAGGACCUGAGUGCAAAUCCUGACACUGGCACUGUUUGCCUACAUGAUAUUUCACAUCUUGCGUGACCUCUCAGAAUCUAUAAAAUAGAUAUUAUAAUGUUUUUGUGAACACAGAUACUAUAAACACUAAUGAGAUAAUAACAUGUAAAAGCAAUGGCCUCCAUGCCUGGCUCAACAAAUAUUAAUUCUCAUUCUCAAAAAAAAAAUAUUGAGGAAUAAAAAUAUCUUGUCCUCAAUUCUUAACACUUAUCUAGUACACUCUUCAGUCUCUGGGUAUGAAGAUGUGCUAACAGUUCUGGGAAGAUUAAUAUUUGUACUACAUUUCAAGAUCUAUGUAGUAAGAGUCCUCCAUCAGUCAAAAUAUGAUCUUAUAAAAGAAAAUCUUUUACUUUUAACCUAAAUCUAUCCUAUUGCUGAUGGCCGAUUGACCUUUUCUGUGCUGAAAGCCCACAUGUAGGUCCUGAGUAUCUUUUUCCUAUGGCCCUUCAUUCUCCAGGUUGAAUAAUUCCAACUCCAUUUAUCCAUCUCCACUUUCUACGGCAUCACUUUAAGCCAUGGUGUUGGUGCAAAUAGUCCUCAGGGCCUGAUUGGGGCUGAAUGGAAUUGUAAGAUUAUACUGAACCCAGAGACUGACCUAAUACAGCCCAUCCUACAGUGCUAUUCAACCUGUCAUCAAUAUAGCUCUAAGAUUCUUUUCUGCUUUUGUUCCUCUCCAUUAUUUCUCUGAUAUAGUAAUAAAUUCCAUUUUCAGUAAAUAUGAAGAAAUGAUUUCAUUGUUUAUAUAUCUUUGUCUAUCAUUUAGCUAUUGAAUACACCGAAUAUAAGACAUCAGGGAGAAUAAAAUUAGAAACACUUGAAUCCUGUCCUCAAGGAGCCUAUAUUCUAGGAGAAACAGACAAGAGCAUACUUAGCUGUUGGAUAGUUACAAGAGCCACAGGAGGGAGAGACCAUGAACUUCUUCCCUUACUGCCUACCAUAUGGUAAGUGCUCAAAGCAUGGUGGCUCUUGGAUUUGUGAAGCCCACAAAAUUGAAACAAAAAAGAUACUUUUGGCUGGAGAUGGUGGAUGCAAGUCAAGAAAAGCUCCAGAAGAAAGGUAACUGACUUGAGGAUGAGCAGUAUUUGCUAUCAGAGACAUAAGAAUGAAAUUCCAGGACUGGCACAGUGAGUACAAAGAUACAGAGUUACAGAGACAAAGGGAUGUAGGGAAAAGAAUCUUUCUUAAGGAACAGAGGGUGGAGAAAAUAAAAGAAAGAAGGAAAAGGGAAGAAGGAUCUUGGGACAAACACAGAACAAAGAACACACCUGCUAACUCACCAAGAGUUCUAUAGAGAGGGUUUUUUCCUCCCUAAAAUAUAAGGAGGUAUUUUUGUGGAACAAUUGCACAAAUAAUUCAUUCACUCAUUCAUUCACUUAUUCAAUAAUAUUUUCUAUGAUUCAGUGCUUGAGCAUAUCAAAGACAAACAGGAAGAUACACUAUCUUUAAUUCACUUAGAAUCUUUUUUUUUUUUUGUCUUUUUAGGGCUGCACCCACAGCAUAUGGAGGUUCCCAGGCUAGAGGUUGAAUUGGAGGUAUAGCUGCCAGCCUACACCACAGCCACAGCAAUGCCAGAUCUGAGCCAUGUCUGUGACCUACACCACAGCUCACAGAAACACCUCGCUCCUUAACCCACUGAGCGAGGCCAGGGAUCGAACCCAAACCUCAUGGUUCCUAGUUGGAUUCCUUUCUGCUGCACCACGAUGGGAACCCCUCACUUAGAAUCUUUAAUGUGAGACAACUAUGGGACAACAAAAGUAACAUUAAUAUCUAUUAUUUAUUGAGUGUUUAUUAUAUUCCAAGUACAAAGAUGCUAACAGCAUACAGUUGGCUCUAUUCAUGUGAGCAAACAAAAGCUUAGAAAUGUUCAGUAACUUUCUCAAGCUCACAGAGCUAGUAUUGAGUUGAGAUUCAAAUUCAAACCCGGAAACUGACUCCUUCACUCUUAAGAUUAUGCCAUCAUGCUGCUAAACAGUAUUAUGCUUAAGAU
rnacentral:lncRNA from 1 species